rnacentral:misc_RNA from 1 species
GGAAGUAAAAGUCGUAACAAAGUCUCCGUAGGUGAACCUGCGGAGGGAUCAUUACAGAGUUCAUGCCCUACCGGGUAGAUCUCCCACCCUAUGUUAUUAUUACUUUGUUGCUUUGGCGGGCCGUUAGGCUCCGGCCCGACUACCGGCCCCGGCUGGUAAGCGCCCGCCAGAGGACCCAAAACCCUGAAUAUUAGUGUCGUCUGAGUACUAUAUAAUAGUUAAAACUUUCAACAACGGAUCUCUUGGUUCUG